GAUGAACGCUGGCGGCGUGCCUAAUACAUGCAAGUCGAGCGAACGGACGAGAAGCUUGCUUCUCUGAUGUUAGCGGCGGACGGGUGAGUAACACGUGGAUAACCUACCUAUAAGACUGGGAUAACUUCGGGAAACCGUAGCUAAUACCGGAUAAUAUUUUGAACCGCAUGGUUCAAAAGUGAAAGACGGUCUUGCUGUCACUUAUAGAUGGAUCCGCGCUGCAUUAGCUAGUUGGUAAGGUAACGGCUUAGCAAGGCAACGAUGCAUAGCCGACCUGAGAGGGUGAUCGGCCACACUGGAACUGAGACACGGUCCAGACUCCGACGGGAGGCAGCAGUCGGGAAUCUUCCGCAAUGGGCGAGAGCCUGACGGAGCAACGCCGCGUGAGUGAUGAAGGUCUUCGGAUCGUAAAGCUCUGUUAUUAGGGAAGAACAUAUGUGUAAGUAACUGUGCACAUCUUGACGGUACCUAAUCAGAAAGCCACGGCUAACUACGUG
rnacentral:rRNA from 1 species